rfam:Ictidomys tridecemlineatus contig082630, whole genome shotgun sequence.
GGGGGCGUAGCUCUGUGGUGAGCAUUUGCCUGAUGUGCAUAAGAUCCUGGGUUUGAUCCCCAGCACCACAA